rnacentral:lncRNA from 1 species
CUGGUGUAACAAGAGUUGCAAAUUCAGAACACUUUUAACAGAUCUUUUCCUGAGCUUGCACCCAAGAUAUUUUGUUAUUUUGGACUGGAUUCUCAUAUACAGCAGCAUAAAUGAGAAAGGACACUUCUACAUUUGUACAUUAUACAUAACAUACUUUUUGUGACAAUAAAAUAAUUCUGAUCUAAUCUGCUACACCAGUGUCUGCAAAGGAACAUUAUUUAACAUAUGAGCAGCAAUAAUAAUGCAGCUAAAGAAAUUUGUUUUUCAAUUAUACAACAUUCCAGAAGUCAUACCCUUGAGCCUACUGAGCAGCAUGUUUGGAGUUUGUAUGUGUCCAACUCAGGUGCUGCAUGCAGAAACUGAGAAACCAGCUUAAAUGUCUUUCACCUGUAUCAGCCUACACAGUAAUCACUUUUGUCUGGCAGAUGUGUAAGUACAUCUCUUGUGUCACUGGAUAAAAUGCUAAUGUCACUGCAUUAUCUACUUGAAAUGAGAAACCAAGAGAAGACUGUAGAAGAAGAUCCUAAUUCUAGGAAGGAAAAAAAAACC